rnacentral:lncRNA from 1 species
AUGAACCUCUCCCAACUCCAGACCUUGGUCUGCCAGCCACCAAUCAGAACUGGCCAGAGGCUUUUGGUUUCCGCCUGGGUGGCACUGGGCCCAGCUACAUCCUAUCUGUGGUGGAGGGCAGUAGUGCCUACCUGGCUGGCUUGCAACCUGGGGACCAAGUGGUGGACAUCGAGGGACAGGAUGUGACCAACCUCAGCACGCCAGCACUGAUCGCUCUGGCUCAGACACUCAAGACGGUACCACCCAGCAUUGGAGUGGUGUCACGGAUUGAACAGAUUGACAUCAUCCCAGGCCCUGAUGGUCGUUUUGGGUUCACUAUUGUGGGAGACAGCCCUCUGAUGGUAGAGGACUGCGUGCCUAAUGGAGCAGCUGGCCGCAGUGGCCUCAAGGCUGGGGACUACGUCAUGGAGGUCAAUGGCAUCCCAGUGAGACAUCACGAAACAGCGGCAGCCAUGAUCAAAGCAGCACAGGGUCGACCUUUGCGUCUGGGCAUACUGAGCAUGGCCCGGAGGCCCAAGCGGCUGAGCAGCAGCAUGAGGGUGCUGUCGCAGAGCGGGGACAGUGUCCGGGAGAGUCGUGCACAUAAAGCCAUGGAGUUCAAUAAAAAGGUGGAGGAAGUAUUAGGAGAGGAGCCAGAUGUGAAGGAACAGCUGUUUGAAGUGCUGAAACAGUACGCUGCUGACAGGGAUGUGGAAAGUCUGGCUGAGGCCCUGCCUGAUAUCCUGAUCACAGAGGAGCAUCAGCAGCUGAUUGACAGCGUCAGGUAACCAAUCAGUUGCUCAGAUAUGCAUUUAGAGACUAUUACAGGCAAAAAAUUUCUGCGUGCAUGUUGUGUGUAUCUUUUUUUUGUGAAGUCAAAAGUGCCUUAGGUACUAACUGGUCAUUUUCAUGUAGUGAUUAUAGAGAUCUUGACAAGGGAAAGAUCUGGGGAAAGUUUUAUACCACUUUUACCACUAGACUAAAACAGAUUGAUCUGUGGUACUUAAGUAAAAUUCAUGCAAGAUUUACUCUGACAGUUAUUUUAUCCAGCUCUUCUGUUUGCAGUCUAAACUCUAAGUGCAUGCUUUGGAAUUUAGAGAUGCAUUUACGUCUCUUCAUGCAUUAUAAGUAACUGUAUUCCUGCUUG